AACGAACGCUGGCGGCGUGUUUAAGACAUGCAAGUCGCACGGGACUAUUUGAGUAGCAAUACAAGAAUAGUUUAGUGGCGCACGGGUGAGUAACACGUGAAUUACAUGCCCUGCAGAGGGGGAUAGCCCAGGGAAACUUGGAUUAAUACCCCAUGGUAUCGCAAGAUUAAAGGUGGCCGCAAGGCUGUCGCUGCAGGAUUGGUUCGGGCCCUAUCAGCUUGUUGGGGAGGUAACGGCUCACCAAGGCUACGACGGGUACCUGGUCUGAGAGGACGAUCAGGCACACUGGAACUGAGACACGGUCCAGACACCUACGGGUGGCAGCAGUCGAGAAUAAUUCACAAUGGGGGCAACCCUGAUGGUGCAACGCCGCGUGGAGGAUGAAGGUCUUCGGAUUGUAAACUCCUGUCAUCCGGGAGUAAGACCUGGCGAUGAAUAGUCGACAGGGUUGAUAGUACCGGAAGAGGAAGGGACGGCUAACUUCGUGCCAGCCGCCGCCGUAA
rnacentral:rRNA from 1 species